rnacentral:rRNA from 1 species
UACGUAGGCAGCAAGCGUUGUUCGGAGUUACUGGGCGUAAAGAGUGCGUAGGCGGUUCCGUAAGUUUUGUGUGAAAUCUCCUGGCUCAACUGGGAGGGUGCGGCGGAGACUGCCAGACUGGAGGCACUCAGAGGCCGGUGGAAUUCCCGGUGUAGUGGUGAAAUGCGUAGAGAUCGGGAGGAACACCAGUGGCGAAGGCGGCCGGCUGGGGGUGACCUGACGCUGAGGCGCGAAAGCGUGGGGAGCGAACCGG